AUUGAACGCUGGCGGCAGGCCUAACACAUGCAAGUCGAACGAGUGGCGGACGGGUGAGUAAUGUCUGGGACCCUGCCUGCUGGAGGGGGAUAAAUACUGGAAACGGUACCUAAUACCCCAUAGGAUCGGAUGGGCCCCGAUGGGAUUAGCUGGUAGGUGGGGGAAAGGCUCACCUAGGCGACGAUCCCUAGCUGGUAGGAUAGGAUGACCAGCGGACCUGGAGCUGGGACAGGGUCCAGACGCCUACGGGAGGCAGCAGGGGCGAAUAGUGCACAAUGGGCGCAAGCCUGAUGCAGCCAGGCCGAGUGUAUGAAGGAGGCCUUCGGGUUGUAAAGUACUUUUAGCGGGGAGGCGUUACCCGCAGAAGAAGCACCGGCUAACUCCGUGCCAGCAGCCGCGGUAAUAC
rnacentral:rRNA from 1 species